ACGGGAGGCUGCUUUUGGCUUGGUGUGAGAGUGCAGCCAAUGUGGGUGCCUUGGAGGGAGGGCAGCAGAUGUGGACUGAGAACCAAGUCAUUUUUUUCCAGAGCAAGGGAGACUUGCCACAGAGUACCUGCAAAACUGAGAGUGAAGUUCAGGUGACUCCCAAUUUGGACAACUGGAGGAUGAGGACCCCAGGACAUGCUGCAGAGAGCCUGCAUGACUUUCCCUUAGAUCUUCCAUCCCAUGAUGGUGAGGCACCUUGUCGC